UCUAGAUUGUCUCGAAUAUUGUUUUUUACUACGUUGCCUGCCCAUUGACAUUCCAUCGCUGAGAACAUAAUAAACGCAUGAUAAAGUAACAAACUUACACAGAUGAAUCGGUGAUAGAUAUAUUGUCUGAUUCAGUUCGUGCAUCACUGCUUAAGCUUUGGAGUUCUGAAUCUUGUCUGGACACUGGGUUGUAGGAAGAGUAUUGUGUGUGCAGUCUGGGUACGAGCAUAUGAUACGGACUAGCUCCAUGUUGCAAAUAAAUGCUUUAACGCCACGCAAAAACAGCAAACGAAACGAAAAGAAAAAAUAUAAAUGAAAUUAAAUAACAGAAACCAAAAAUAACU